CCUACGGGCGGCAGCAGUGAGGAAUUUUGGUCAAUGGGCGAGACCCUGAACCAGCCAAGUCGCGUGAGGGAGUACUUCCCUAUUGGUUGUACACCUCUUUUGUCGGGGAGCAAAAGCAGGACGUGUCCGGCUGUGAGAGUACCCGAAGAAAAAGCAUCGGCUAACUCCGUGCCAGCAGCCGCGGUAAUACGGAGGAUGCGAGCGUUAUCCGGAUUUAUUGGGUGUAAAGGGUGCGCAGGUGGAUUUUUAAGUCAGCGGUCAAAACGUUGGGCUCAACCCCAUACAGCCAUUGAUACUGGGGAGCUAGAGUGUGACAGAGGUAUGCGGAACGCGUGGUGUAGCGGUAAAAUGCAUAGAUAU
rnacentral:rRNA from 1 species